UCCCUUAUGGCUCAGCUGGUAAAGAAUCCACCUGCAACGUGGGACACCCAGGUUUGAUUCCUGGGUUGGGAA
rnacentral:tRNA from 1 species